rnacentral:tRNA from 1 species
UGUGGGGUAGCUCAGUGGUAAAGUGCUUGCCUAGUAUGCAUGAGACCAUGGUUCAAUCCCCACAC